AAUAAAAUGGAGAAUGGGAAUGCAGCGAGGCGGAUGCUGCCAGUCAUCGCCCGCCCGCAGGACUGGAACCCCCUGGGGUCAUCUGCUGUUCCCCAGCAAAGAAACCUGGUCCUGAGCAGCUGGAACUAACUCUGAAGUCAGCACUGAUUUGAGAAAGUCCAAAGGCCCUUCCAAACAAAAUUGUACAAUAAUUCUGGGAGGAAAAGGGAAUCAUGAAUAAGCCGCAUAGUAGGGAAAGGGUAAGGGGUUGGUGUUUCCUGAAAUGACAAAAACCAACAUAGUGUUAGAUUAUAUGUAAUAUAUUAUUUAUAAUAUAUUAUAUAUAAUAUAAUAUAUGUAAUUAUAUAUUAGAUCAGCAAUAUACCAUGUCAUUUAUUAAAAACCCUAAGCCUUGCAGAGUUUUCUUUCAUCUGAGGUGUGUUUCACUUGGUAGAAGUCCCUUUGUUUUUCUGGUUUCUUUCUUCUGUGGAGGAAGGAUGUCAUGUGUAAAUAAAGGAUAUGAUGCUCUGCACUACUGACAUUUAUUAAAUUAAAGCUGUAAUCAGUACAGUAUGUCUUAACCAUAAUAUUAAUAUGGCUAAAACAGUAAAUGCUAUCAUGUUCAAAGCCUAACACCUGUUUUAUAUUAGCAUUUGGAUAGUUAUUUCAUUUUUUGUUCUAAUAGAAUAGUCUUUGAUGAAAUCCAAAACUCAGCUGUAAUUUUUAGCUCCUAACCCUUCAUAAACCCCAGAAUAUGAUUCAAAAAGCCUACUCUUAGAUCUUAAAUAAGUUUCUCCUAAGUUUUGCCAGACUGUUGUGAAAAUGUUGGAAGCAUAGGGAAAUGAAUACAAAUGCUGCAUCCCUUGGCGGGACCAGGCAGGUCAGGAUGUUGCCUGUGACCUCCAGCAAGCAAGUCCCCUGCGAUUCAGAGCAAGGGGACUCCAUCCUGUCCAGCCGUGCUCCUGCAGUCAGACCUCGAGGCUCCCACCUCCCGCCGCAGGCAUGCCCUGGGGGAGUUGUGCAAGGAGAGCAGAGAGGCCAGCUCUGGAGGAACUUUGCUUUCUCUUCAACCCAGACCUGAUGAUUUCUUGCAGCUGGUUGGUGCUCACAGAGUGUUUCACAUCUAGCACACAGCAAGCAGGGGGGAGAUGCUGUGCUGCAAAUGUGAUCCUACCAAGUGUGGGAGAGGACUGUGAAAACCAAGACAACACAGGUAGCUAAGUACUGGGCUACCUUAAGUUAACCUGUAGCGAUAGGAUAGCCCUCCCUCCCGUCCCUCUGCACAGCCUGACUGCUAAUGUAGGCCUUGGAAGAUGACACAAGUUUAACUGAGUGAAUGAAUUAGCUGAGCACCUGUGUAAAACCCACCAAAAACCUCACUUGAAGCAUAACCAGCCUUAAGUUUGGGCAGUGUUAGCUUAAAAAUUCUGAAAUAAAUGAGAAAGAACCCAAAGUCUAGUGGGUUGU
rnacentral:lncRNA from 1 species